rnacentral:lncRNA from 1 species
UUAAGACACCUUGACGUACUAUACAUCUAUUUCUUUGCAUAGAACCAAUAAACAAACAUCACUGAGUUCGGAGUAGCAAGGCAAACAAAAUAAAGACUAUGCAAACAAGAAUGAUGUAGUGCCACUUGAAUGGAAGAAUACAUAUUGCUAAUAAUAAUACACUUUACCAGCCCUCUCAUGGAGAAUGAAUUAAUUGCAACUGGUGAAACUUCCUUCCAGAUGAAUGAAUGCAUCGAGGUAAAAUAGCAAACACAUGAUUAUAUCAUCCGUGGAGACAAAAACACCUUAAAGAAAGCAAAAACUCAAAACGAUAAUUUACGACUUUCACCUCAAGACGAUUCGCCUCAAUCACCAGCACAUGAAAGACCAAUGAACUGAAGAUCGAAGGUGCCACACGCAUAGAAGUUUGAUACUUCUAUUUCCAGUAAACUGAAGAAACAAAAUAAUAAAGGAGAAGCUAAUGACAUGUGUGCACAACAAGCAUAUGGAAAAGACCAAUGUAGUACAUGAGGGUAUCUUCAGUUUGCAUAGAUAAUCAGUGAAUAAAAGGGCAUAAUUUAGCUAGCCUGCUAUAUAAUUCAUACUAAUUAAAAAACACAACUCUUAUCACAUCAUAUUCAAUAAUUCCAAAGCUAGAGCAAAUUAGAACAUAUCUUCUCAUUAUAAUUUCAUUUUCUAAUAAGACAUUUUCAUCAUCAUGCCAUGUUUGACAAAGUUCCCCUGCCCAAAGGAUAAAAUGUAGGGGGGGAAUGCAUUUCAGUUGUCAUGCUUUCUUGAAACACUAUUUUUUGUACAUUGUAUAAGGUGGAUUGGCAAGCCCCUUUAUAGAAAUUUAGUGGUGAAUAAAUCUGAGUGUGAGAGUGAGUCUUACUACACUUCAACAACAUUCAAGCUUCACCAGGAGCAUUUGAAACCAAAUUCAUGGUCAGGAAAUAUCAAAUCUCUAGAAAAAAAUACAGUUUUCUAUAAAUAAAAUAAAGAAUUGGGCAUUAACCUAUAUAUGACUUGGGAGGAAUGUGUGUGUUUCACAGAAUUCAAUAUGCCUAGUAUAAACAAAAGAGCAUGUGUAUGCAUGUUAUACGUUGAGCCUGCCCGGGUGUCGGCGACCACAUUUGCAUAUAGCAACGAGCAGGCCUCAUCUAUGAUGCCGUGUGUGAAUAUUUGCCUGCUGCCGCUGACAGUGCCAGUCAAGAGGGCAUGUGGUAGAACAUGAACUAACAUAUUGAUGACCAGAUCACCAAGUACCACCACAAAUACUGUAAUUGCAAAACACAUUGUGGUUUUCAUAAUAUACAGCAGAAAAUUGUAGACACACACUCAUGCCCUUACAGGCGUGACCAUACCAUGUCACACUAUCAAUUCCUCCUCAUCGUUGUCAUCCCAAUCGGUAGGCCUAGAUUCUUUUGCGGGUUCAUUUGUCGGUGACGUGUGGACAUGCGACUCGAGGUCCGGCAUCACCGUAGUGAGAAGACUGGGUGUGAUACAAACAGAGCCUAAAUCGUAUCCUCAAAUAAGCCUAUGAAAUAAUCCAAUCCUUCUACUGCACAAUCUAGUAUAAAUCCCAAGUAACACAUGCAUGCUGAGAGAUGUAUGCUACAUUACUGAAUUGGGCCUGCCCAAGUCACCCUACCUCACUAACUCCUACACAAAGUAUACUUUGCUGAAUUUUGCAUCUACCGAUUAAUGAACCACACUAAAUUAAGCAAACACACGUCAGUACAGAGAACGAAUGCUCAUGCAAAAUCGUUAGUCCACGAGACAGGCGAGCUGCUUAAUGAACAAUUCAGUUUGGAUACAGAAAAAUUGAGUACAACUUAUAGUUCGAAGCAUCCGUACAACUGAUAUGGCCGUUCCUCUGUGUGCCCACGGUGCGGCAGCGUGGAGGCGCGCACGUACGAUAUCGUUCGCCAGCGUCCGCCUUGCGUAUGUCCAUGUCCCCAGCGGGGGCGGCAGCUCCCGGCAUUGAAUCAAGGAGUGUGAAUUUCAGUGAAACACUAAUACACAAAUGUCUAAACAGACAGUAACACCAUGAAUAAAUUGAUUCUGCUCCUUUACCUCUGCAUAUCCAUGUGAGGGUAGAAAAAAGGAUUAAGAGGGAGAUGGGGUUGUUUGCCGUACCUGCACAUCAUAUGGUGGUGCCGAUGGUGAACGACGACUACGCACGUGCUGCGAUGGUGCAGGAUCAACCGCGGCUGCUCCUCGCUCACCAGGAUCCUGUAGGUGGUGGUGCUUGAGGCCAAGAAGAUGGUAUGGGCAUCUAGAUCAAUACCACUGAAAUACAGUAAUCGUACACACAAAGAUGGUACGGGCAGUCAUUUCAUUUCCUGUUAGCAUCUACGUCCAUUUUAUGAGCUUGACUGCUGACUGCUAACUGCUCCUACUCCAUCAAAAAUUACCUUCUGGUGAAGCAAGGUUAUUUGCAAGCAGCACAUACUUGAACAUUAUCUGUUGGAUAAACUGUCUUCGUGUGACUGAAGCAGAAAUGUGGAAGAAAGACACAGAGGUUCAUAUAAAAUCAUAUGAUAGCAAUGACGCUGGCACCCACAAGAUGGGAAAAUAAUUUCAUGCAUAGUAGUGAUUGUAAUGAAAUAUUAAUUACCAUUUUGCAUGCAUGACUUGAAUUUGAUCUCUAAUUUGUAGGUACAAAAACUGACCAUCCAUACAUGAAUUCACCCAAGACUAAUGAAUACUAACUUCAUAGAUGGCAAGAAACCUAGCAGCGCAGCAGCACGCACAGGAAGACCCAAGCCUUCUUAGUGUACAUUAGGCUCUAAUUGAUCUAGGCACAAGGUUUCACAACAGUGGUUAUAUGGGUAGUAAAAAACAUUUAGGCUAAAUCUGAAGCUAUCUAUGUAUGUCCAAAUUUAGAUCUAGCAACAGAAAUAUAAAGAUACACACACACGGGUUACUACCAAUAAAUAAUAAUGUCUAUAUCGAGUUUCUUGAAACAAAAGGAACACGUCAAUUGAGUUCUCGACAAGAACUUUCCCAAGAAAUUUUGAUCCUAGCAUUUGGCAAUUUGUUUCAAAGAGAAAAUCUUGAUACUGCCACACAUGUGAACCGAGCACAAUUAUUCUCUGAUUUUAUUCAGCAACAACUCUCUCUAGACUUCUUUACAGCUGAAAGAAGGGAGAAAUGAACUAUAGCUCACAGUCUCUAAUCUCAACAAAAUA